rnacentral:rRNA from 1 species
AAUGAACGCUGGCGGCAGGCCUAACACAUGCAAGUCGAACGAGUGGCGGACGGGUGAGCAAUGUCUGGGAAACUGCCCGAUGGAGGGGGAUAACUACCGGAAACGGUAGCUAAUACCGCAUACCAUCGGAUGUGCCCAGAUGGGAUUAGAUAGUAGGUGGGGUAACGGCUCACCUAGGCGACGAUCCCUAGCUGGUCUGAGAGGAUGACCAGCCACACUGGAACUGGGACACGGUCCAAGCUCCUACGGGAGGCGGCAGUAGGAAAUAUUGCACAAUGGGCGCAAGCCUGAUGCAGCCAUGCCGCGUGUAUGAUGAAGGCCUUCGGGUUGUAAAUUACUUUCAGCGGGAAGGCGUUACCCGCAGAAGAAGCACCGGCUAACUCCGUGCCAGCAGCCGCGGUAAUUC